AUGUGUUUGAAGCAUUUCUGUUAUGACUCCUUGGGAUGGAUCCAUUUCGUACUGUUGCACGAAGUCUUAAGGUCGUCCUACAAAGAUUUGAGGAAAGAUGGAUGUCCACUCCAUUAUUCUUGUGAUGAGCCUAAGAGCUGGAGAACUCGGACUAUCUCCUUGACGAAUCUUCAAAAACUGGAUAUUAUAGAAUUCGAAGGGGUGGAUCAUGAGUUUAAUUUCUUGAAAGUGAUAUUUAGAUGUGCACCAAUGCUUAACAGAGUUGACCGUGGAGCUGUCAAAAGGGUUCACACCAAAUGA
rnacentral:rRNA from 1 species